rnacentral:rRNA from 1 species
UACGUAGGGAGCAAGCGUUAUCCGGAUUUAUUGGGUGUAAAGGGUGCGUAGACGGGAUAACAAGUUAGUUGUGAAAACCCUCGGCUCAACUGAGGAACUGCAACUAAAACUAUUAUUCUUGAGUGCAGGAGAGGUAAGUGGAAUUCCUAGUGUAGCGGUGAAAUGCGUAGAUAUUAGGAGGAACACCAGUGGCGAAGGCGGCUUACUGGACAGUAACUGACGUUGAGGCUCGAAAGCGUGGGGAGCAAACAGG